rnacentral:rRNA from 1 species
GACGAACGCUGGCGGCGCGCUUAACACAUGCAAGUCGAGCGAAGCGGCGGACGGGUGAGUAACACGUGAGUAACCUGCCUUAGACAUUGGGAUAGCCUCGGGAAACCGGGAUUAAUACCAAAUGGUCUAAGAUGGACUCGCGUCGCAUUAGCUCGUUGGUGCGGGAACGGCCCACAAAGGCGACGAUGGGUAGCCGGCCGGAGAGGGUGAACGGCCACAUUGGAGCUGAGAAGCGGUCCAAACUCUACGGAAGGCAGCAGUGGGGAAUAUUGCACAAUGGAGUGAACUCUGAAGCAGUGACGCCGGGUGAACGAAGAAGGCGUUCGAGAUGUAAAUUACUUUUAUAUGGGAAGCGGUACCAUAAGAAAAAGCCCCGGCUAACUACGUGCCAGCAGCCGCGGUAAUUC